rnacentral:rRNA from 1 species
GAUGAACGCUGGCGGCGUGCCUAAUACAUGCAAGUCGAGCGAACAGACGAGGAGCUUGCUCCUCUGACGUUAGCGGCGGACGGGUGAGUAACACGUGGAUAACCUACCUAUAAGACUGGGAUAACUUCGGGAAACCGGAGCUAAUACCGGAUAAUAUAUUGAACCGCAUGGUUCAAUAGUGAAAGACGGUUUUGCUGUCACUUAUAGAUGGAUCCGCGCCGCAUUAGCUAGUUGGUAAGGUAACGGCUUACCAAGGCAACGAUGCGUAGCCGACCUGAGAGGGUGAUCGGCCACACUGGAACUGAGACACGGUCCAGACUACUACGGGAGGCAGCAGUAGGGAAUCUGCCGCAAUGGGCGAAAGCCUGACGGAGCAACGCCGCGUGAGUGAUGAAGGUCUUCGGAUCGUAAAACUCUGUUAUUAGGGAAGAACAAAUGUGUAAGUAACUAUGCACGUCUUGACGGUACCUAAUCAGAAAGCCACGGCUAACUACGUG